rnacentral:lncRNA from 1 species
CUUUUACGUCGGGACUCAAGGGUUUGUUAGGUUGUGCUAGGAGCGAUGGCUCUCGGUGUAACGGAGCUCUUAAGUGAAGAUGCUGAGAGGAAAAGGAAGAGUGCAAAACAUAGGGGAGAAUGUUUGCUGGAAAACGACAUGGUUAAAACCUAACGAUCUUAGCAGCAUCCUGCAGGUUGUUGAUUGCUAAUGAAGUUAUGGAUAUCUCUGAUGGCAGCGUCAUUCUGAAUGAGGGGUCGCUGUCUGCCUAUUGAAAGAGGCCAGAUUGCUGUGAAGUUCCUGAGAUAUUUCUGGCUAAUGCCACAAGAUUUACCGGUAUGUCGUGUGAAAAACUAAGGAAAAGCUCUUCAUUUUAUGGAUAUGGAAAGAAAAAUCAAGAUGGAUUAUAUUUUUUUUAAUUAUCCAGUCUUUAAUUAGUUAAGUAAAACUAGUUAAACUUUUUAAAAUCAAUUUUGAAUGAAUACCCUUUGGUUACAAGCUGUUUGAAUGUAAAAUGCGUCAUGGUGAUUAUAGCCAAAUGAAGGUUUUUACUAUUAUAGAAAGUUACUAAGAUGAGAGCAGAGUGGACAGAACAUAUUCCUGGGAUUGGGCUGGAAAGAAAGCCCACCAUCAAUAAUCAUUACUGGCUGAAUUAUGGAAUAUUUAGUCUUAGUGUAACAGUAUUGUGUAUUUAUUUAUGGUAUUAAGGUGUUUAUUCUGAAAACGAAGAAAGCACAAUAUAGCAAGUCAUGAGGAAGGUCACUGAUGAAAUGUAGUUUAAAAUUGUACAGACAUCCUGAAUGAAUAUAAGUGUUAAGUAAUUAAUACCAUCUGAUGUAACCAAGGUGGUUGGGCCCCAUGCAUAAUCAUUUUCCCUAAAUAGCUACAUGAAUAAAUUUUUCCCAAUCCAAGUAAGAAUGCCAAUAUUUAUAGUCAUCAUUAAUAAACCUAAAAUUUCCUUAGUGAAAAUUUGGAUCCCACGCAUGCAGCUCAGGGAGAGGUUUAUGAAACUGAUAAGGCUGUAGUUGAAUACUUUCCCAAGUAUCAAAACAGUAUACAAAAUAGCAUCUCUGGGAAUGUUUCCUUGGCAGCCAUAAACUACCCAUGUGUUGCAUUUAUUACAUGUAUUUAACAUUGCAGUCUACGCUCUUAUGACUGAUCUCCCUUACCCUGCUUUAUUUGGAAUAUAUAUUCUAGAAGACCUGUUUCAAACACAGACAUCCUAAGUACAUAGAAACCUUAAAUAUCUGGCUCUUGGUUAGAACAAAGAAUGGAUGGUAAUUUUACCCAAAAAAUAUAGUGAUCAAAGAUAAAUUGGUACCCACACAAAACUUUAAGGGGAAAAAAAUACAUUUCUCUAAAACCUCAGUUAAUGUACAUUACUGCACCGUGCGUUGUGUACAACAGUUGUACACAAUGCCAAGAGAAAAGGCAAAGUACAGGAAACAAGAACAGUGCAGAAUAAGGAUGUUAAAGUGAUACAUUUGGGCAUAUGAAACACUAACCAAAGAUAUGCUUCAGAAUUGGAUCCCCAAAGGUACAAUUCCAAUGGAACUUGAAAGCUCAACAUAGAAGUUUCCAUUAAGAUUACUAAUUGAUUCAAACCUAUUACUAAACAAGGUGUACUAAUGUCAUGAUGGUGUCUUUCACACAGCACAGAUAUACUUAAUUGGUAAUAUAUAAAAAAUAAGGCAACUAAAUAAGACCAGGGACCUUAAGCUGUUACCUGUGUAAGGGAUUUAAACUUCCAGAACCAAUCUGCAACUUAAUGGACUUAGUGGAGAUCCUAAAAUGUACGGAUCUGCUGUUUGGACUGGUUUUGUGAUAAACAUAUAGAACACAGUCUACAUUUGUGUGAUGUUACUGACUAGCCAGUAAGAAUUUUCUCUCUGCUUUACACCAUUCUUUCUGAUUGCAUUAAACAGUAGGCUCAAUCCUACCAUUUGGUGUUUUGUUUUCCUUCCCAUUUGAUAUUUUCUAAAAUAAGUUCUAUUGUCAGAAAUUACAGCAUCCACUGCACUUGGAAUCCCAAUCAAGUGCCCUCUGAACUGAUUAUACACUUCAUAAUCCUUGCUGUUUGCCCAGCCUGUGUGAAAGUUUUUGACCACUUUUCAAGGGUUUUAGAACCUCUAAAUCCCAGCCUACCAGGAUAGUCUGCUUGUCUUGCCAUUUUCUCCUUCCCAUCUUUCCUUCCAAAAGCUUGAUUCCAGAUCAAUGAUUUGCACUUGUCACUGAAUAAUUACUGAAUAUAGCCACUGCCUCUGGCCUUGUUCCACCUCACCAAUUCUACAUUUUGGGGUAUGUACAGAGAUGAGGUCAAAAUACAAGUGUUCUAUGAAGUUCUGAAAUUUUUGUGGACCAUCUUGGGGUCAGGGGAGAAGGUAUCUUUCCAAUACUUGGUUUCAUUGUUGCAAAUCCUGUCCUCUUGGAAUUACCACUAGUCCACUCUGAGCUCCUGGCAUGCCAUGCAGCUGAGUUGUAACAGGAAGCAGAUUUAAUCUGACAGAAUCCCACAUCAAGUAAAGUAUAAUCCAGUGUAUUUGGAAAACUUAAUAGUUACGCUUACUCAAUUGAUUCUAGUUCUCUUUCAAAAGAGUAUUAAGGUGAGUUCCUGUGUGGAUCAGCGUAAAUGAAUCUGACUGGUGUCCAUGAGGACUCAGGUUCUAUCCCUGGCCUCACUCUGCGUUAAGAAUCCGGCAUUGCCAGGAGCUGUGGUAUAGGUCUCGGACACAGCUUGGAUCUGGUGUUGCUGUGGCUGUUGUGUAGGCUGGCAGCUACAGCUCCUAGCCUGGAAACUUACAUAUGUGGUGGGUGCAGCCCUAAAAAAAAAAAAUGUGUUAAUGAGAAGAGCAUUUCAGGAUACUCAAAAUUCAUCAUUUGAGGAAAAUAAUAGAAAUACAGUGCAUUACUGAGGUCAGGGAACUUAAUGUGUCCUUCCCUGUAGUGCUGAAUAUAAAGUACAAUAAAUGGUCUUUUUUGUG